GCUGGGUACAGUGAUGCGUGCCUGUAGUCCCAGCUACUCAGGAGGCUGAGGUGGGAGGAUCACUUGAGCCCAGGAGUUCUGGGCUGUAGUGCACUAUGCCAAUCGGGCGUCCACACUAAGUUUGGCAUCCCUCGGGAGCGGGGGACCAUCAGGUUGCCUAAGGAGGGGUUAACCCGGCCCAGGUCAGAAACAGAGCACGUCAAAACUCCCUGUGCUGAUUAGUAGUGGGAUCGUGCCUGUGAAUAGCCACCUGCACUCUAGCCCUGGGCCAACAUAGUGAGACCCUGCCUCCU
rnacentral:SRP_RNA from 1 species